AGAGAGGAGCUAUCGAAGAGUGGCCAUGUGAUCGCGUGAUGAUGAAUCUCCUUAUUAAACGGUGUGCUUUGGUUCUCUUCCUCUUGUU
rnacentral:pre_miRNA from 1 species